GACGAACGCUGGCGGCGUGCCUAAUACAUGCAAGUUGAGCGCUGAAGGUUGGUACUUGUACCAACUGGAUGAGCAGCGAACGGGUGAGUAACGCGUGGGGAAUCUGCCUUUGAGCGGGGGACAACAUUUGGAAACGAAUGCUAAUACCGCAUAAAAACUUUAAACACAAGUUUUAAGUUUGAAAGAUGCAAUUGCAUCACUCAAAGAUGAUCCCGCGUUGUAUUAGCUAGUUGGUGAGGUAAAGGCUCACCAAGGCGAUGAUACAUAGCCGACCUGAGAGGGUGAUCGGCCACAUUGGGACUGAGACACGGCCCAAACUCCUACGGGAGGCAGCAGUAGGGAAUCUUCGGCAAUGGACGAAAGUCUGACCGAGCAACGCCGCGUGAGUGAAGAAGGUUUUCGGAUCGUGAAACUCUGUUGGUAGAGAAGAACGUUGGUGAGAGUGGAAAGCUCAUCAAGUGACGGUAACUACCCAGAAAGGGACGGCUAACUACGUG
rnacentral:rRNA from 1 species